UCACGUGUUUACUAUUGAAAAGCUUGUUUGCUUAACCUUGCUUUUUCAUUUUGAUAAAUAUUUAAUUGUGUUGGUUAUUUAGUUGAUUUAAGACUUUAAUUUUUAACUAAAUUUCCAAUUAUGUGAAAGUUAACUGUUCAGGUCAAGUCUGACCUAAAGUUGAGUAGCAAGAAGCGCUCUAAUUUGUUUUAUGAAAUAUUACAUGUAAGUCUUUAAUGAUCUACCAAACGAUGUAAGAAGCGUUUAUUGUUUUCAUUUUUUAGAUUCUAUUUCAGCAACUUUAAUUUGGUUAAUUAAUGACGAGUGUUGAGCUGGAUAAGAAUUGAUAAUUUCUUAUUGAAUGGUGACGUUAAUUUUGCUGAAUAAGCCUGGAAGGAACCAUCUUUUGGCAGUAUUGAAACCUUACUUGGUCUCAAAGUGAUUUGGCGAUUGACUGUCUUGGAUGAAGCUGACAAAUCUUGCCUAUGAAUAACUGUACAGAUUGAUGUCUUAUGUCCUUUGGUCAGCCAUAGUUGAUGCAAAUGAUGGUUAGGAGAGGAAAUGAAACAAAUGGUUGAAAUACAGAAAUGACAAUAAUGAAGACGGUAAUGAUGAUGAUUACGAUGAUGAUGAUGGUGACAGUUAUUAUUAUGAUAUUACCAUUGUGACUGUAUUUGAUGGUUGCAUAAAUGUGAACAUCUUUUAUGUAUAAAAAGCCACUUAAUCGGCUGCAAAUAUCACUUUCCUUGAGGGAAUUUUAUUCCUCUAUUCUUUCACCUGGAUAUAAACUGCCAUUCACUUGUUUGUCAUGACGAUACCUUGAUGAUGGAAAUUUUUGUCCAUUGAAAUUUGAAUCAAAGUUGACCAGUAAAUCUAAAUUACACCAACAAGCUAUCGAGCAAUUGUUCACUCGAAAAGAUUUUGAAUCACCAUUUGAACAUAAGGAUCCACUUUUGCUGGGAGUUACUCUGUGUGAUUCAAUUUUUAAAUCAUCAUAAGUUCCAUUUUGCUCAUUCUGUGAUUUCAACUUGAAAUUUAAUGAUAAUGGUCUUCAAAAAGUAGAUACAGAAGAUUGAAGAUAAUCUAUUCCAUUGAGCUUUUAUGUACUUUUCAAAAAAGCUGUGAUAUAAAGGGAUCAAAUAUUUUCUCAAUUGUAGAAAACAAUUUGCCAUUCAGAUACAGUGUGUCACAAAACAUGAUAGUUUUCCCUUUUCACAAAUGCAUCGAAACUCAUCUUUAAAAAUUUCAUCUCUAUGCUCUAAUCUUCGUAACACAGAUCGGGAUUUUUUCUUCCCUGUUCGGAAUCAUAACUCCCGAUCUAUUGAUGAGCUUAAACCUGUAAAGGCCAACUUUUCAAGUUGAUCAUAAGUCCAAAGGCAAUUCAAAGUACACCUUUAUCUCAGCUAUUUAAAUGACAUUUCAAAGUUACUGAAAGAACAUUUUUGGGAUUGAAUCAUUUUUCCUUCAAAAAGAUAACAUGACUUGAAACAGAUUUCUAUUAUUUAUCAAGUGAUUUUGAUUUGCUGAUUCGCUGUGUCUUGGACCCGAAAAUAACCAACAACUGGAGCUCACAAAAAGAUGAUAUUCAACACUUGAAGAUUGAAUUCUGGUUCACUAUCAUUGAACUGAUUUUUGAUCCAAUUUUGACUGGAAACUGCUUUGUUACCAAGAAUAAGUUACCAUUUUGAAGACAGCAGCUAAUGAACUGUAACUUGCAUCAUCAUUACUUCAUCGAAAUGAUUAUUUGGAAAGCUUAUCGUGACAAUUUACUGAAUCAACUGCAAUUUAAAUGAAAAAUGAAGUCUAAAUAUUGAACAUUUAACCAUUUUCCAUCAGCAACUUUACUGUCUCUCAAUCAAGUAAAAGCUUUACAGGGUUUCCAUGUUUAACGCUAAUAAAUCUAAAUACAAAUUAUUAAUCAACAAAGGAAAACAAAGUUUACUUUGGUAUUGAUUAAUUGCGACAAAACGAUGUCAAUUAAAUUUGCAAAUAGAUUCAACAAUCAACCCUAAAAAUAGAAGGUGAAUAUUGUUUGACAAAAGCUAAACUUGAAACAAAAUACUGAUGAAAGUUGAAUUUUAACCUGAAACAGAAUGAAUCUUUUCAAUUAAACCCAUGUAAAUAUAUUAGUAAUUAUAUUCAGCUAAUAGUAGAUUUAAUAUUGAAUUUGGGUUAAAGUGUUGAAAAUGUUGAAAAGAAGUAAAAGGUUUACAUUGAAACUUAAUACAUUUAUAUAUUUAGAUGCAAUUGGGAGUGUUCAAUAUUAAGGUAAAAAUAGCAAUUCACCAGAAUUGGAAGCAAAGUUAUGUGAAACCCUUUUAAUUUGGGAAACAAUGAAAAAUAAUGUCAAAGAUAAUUUAUUUUAGGUAAAACUGUAAUUUGAAUAAUCAAGGUAAAAUGCGAGAUUUAACCAUGACACAGUUGCUAAAUAUAAAUAUCAACAUUAUCUUACAUCUAAAUGAGUGUUUAAUUUUUGCCUUUAAUAAAUUAUUGUUUACUUUGUUGUACAAACAACUGGAUUGUCAACAAAUUAAUACAAAUUAAUGAUUAAUAUUGUAAUUGGUCCUUCUAAUUGUUGAAUCCAAUAUUUGGCUAUUUUCACCUCUUUAUGAUUUCUGGUCAACAGCCAUUCUUUUCUGGUUAAUUUUUUAAAUGUUCACAUUAUUUAUAUAUUAACACUUUUCACAUUAGAUAUUCAUUUUAGGUUUAUAUUUAUGAUAAUCACAUUAACUAACUAUAUUAUGUAGCAUUUUAAAUAAUUUAUAAAUUGCGCUUCUACUCCUUUCUUUCAAUAAGUUUCAACAUACAGCUGAUGUUACCGUUGUGUUACACACAGAGUUGAUUUAUUACAUUUUGAUGUUUAGUUGAUACAUUAUUAUUGUAUUAUUUUGAAGAUUAGUUACUUUGGAUUCUUUCCUUUGGAUAUAUAAACAGUGUAAUUAGAUAAGUUACAUUGGUUGAUUGGCUCACUUGUUACUCAAUGAUGGUUAUUUUGCUUCAUGUUUGCCUGUUUGUUUUCACUGUUACACCAAUGUUUUCCCCUUUGCAAUUGUAACGGUUUUUUUGGGUUGGAAACAAAAUGGUGAUUAUCAACAGCAACUGUGUUAAACCUUUAAGGAGGGUUACGUAGGAUGAUUGACAUAGCAACCUGGUCCUUGGAAAAUUAAAUUGGCGAGCUCAUAUAACUUGAAUUAUAUUCGUUGAAAGAUUAAUUGUACUUAAUCAACUUACC